GACUCUCAGAAAUGGAUAUCUCGGCUCUUGCAUCGAUGAAGAACGUAGCGAAAUGCAAUACUUGGUGUGAAUUGCAAAAUCCCGUGAACUAUGGAGUUUUUGAACGCAAGUUGCGCCUGUCGCCACCCGCCGAAACGGACCUUGGCAUUC
rnacentral:rRNA from 1 species